GCGAACCGGGGGAACUGAAACAUCUAAGUACCCCGAGGAAAAGAAAUCAACCGAGAUUCCCCCAGUAGCGGCGAGCGAACGGGGAGCAGCCCAGAGUCUGAAUCAGCUUGUGUGUUAGUGGAACGGUCUGGAAAGUCCGACGGUACAGGGUGAUAGUCCCGUACACCAAAAUGCACAGGCUGUGAACUCGAAGAGUAGGGCGGGACACGUGGUAUCCUGUCUGAAUAUGGGGGGACCAUCCUCCAAGGCUAAAUACUCCUGACUGACCGAUAGUGAACCAGUACCGUGAGGGAAAGGCGAAAAGAACCCCGGCGAGGGGAGUGAAAAAGAACCUGAAACCGUGUACGUACAAGCAGUGGGAGCACCUUCGGGUGUGACUGCGUACCUUUUGUAUAAUGGGUCAGCGACUUAUAUUCUGUAGCAAGGUUAACCGUAUAGGGGAGCCGCAGGGAAACCGAGUCUUAACUGGGCGUUAAGUUGCAGGGUAUAGACCCGAAACCCGGUGAUCUAGCCAUGGGCAGGUUGAAGGUUGGGUAACACUAACUGGAGGACCGAACCGACUAAUGUUGAAAAAUUAGCGGAUGACUUGUGGCUGGGGGUGAAAGGCCAAUCAAACCGGGAGAUAGCUGGUUCUCCCCGAAAGCUAUUUAGGUAGCGCCUCGUGAACUCAUCUUCGGGGGUAGAGCACUGUUUCGGCUAGGGGGUCAUCCCGACUUACCAACCCGAUGCAAACUACGAAUACCGAAGAAUGUUAUCACGGGAGACACACGGCGGGUGCUAACGUCCGUCGUGAAGAGGGAAACAACCCAGACCGCCAGCUAAGGUCCCAAAGUCAUGGUUAAGUGGGAAACGAUGUGGGAAGGCACAGACAGCCAGGAUGUUGGCUUAGAAGCAGCCAUCAUUUAAAGAAAGCGUAAUAGCUCACUGGUCGAGUCGGCCUGCGCGGAAGAUGUAACGGGGCUAAACCAUGCACCGAAGCUGCGGCAGCGACACUAUGUGUUGUUGGGUAGGGGAGCGUUCUGUAAGCCUGCGAAGGUGNUGCUGGAGGUAUCAGAAGUGCGAAUGCUGACAUAAGUAACGAUAAAGCGGGUGAAAAGCCCGCUCGCCGGAAGACCAAGGGUUCCUGUCCAACGUUAAUCGGGGCAGGGUGAGUCGACCCCUAAGGCGAGGCCGAAAGGCGUAGUCGAUGGGAAACAGGUUAAUAUUCCUGUACUUGGUGUUACUGCGAAGGGGGGACGGAGAAGGCUAUGUUAGCCGGGCGACGGUUGUCCCGGUUUAAGCAUGUAGGCUGGUUGUCCAGGCAAAUCCGGAUAAUCAAGGCUGAGGUGUGAUGACGAGGCACUACGGUGCUGAAGUAACAAAUGCCCUGCUUCCAGGAAAAGCCUCUAAGCAUCAGGUAACAUCAAAUCGUACCCCAAACCGACACAGGUGGUCAGGUAGAGAAUACCAAGGCGCUUGAGAGAACUCGGGUGAAGGAACUAGGCAAAAUGGUGCCGUAACUUCGGGAGAAGGCACGCUGGUGUGUAGGUGAAGUCCCUGCGGAUGGAGCUGAGACCAGUCGAAGAUACCAGCUGGCUGCAACUGUUUAUUAAAAACACAGCACUGUGCAAACACGAAAGUGGACGUAUACGGUGUGACGCCUGCCCGGUGCCGGAAGGUUAAUUGAUGGGGUUAUCCGUAAGGAGAAGCUCUUGAUCGAAGCCCCGGUAAACGGCGGCCGUAACUAUAACGGUCCUAAGGUAGCGAAAUUCCUUGUCGGGUAAGUUCCGACCUGCACGAAUGGCGUAAUGAUGGCCAGGCUGUCUCCACCCGAGACUCAGUGAAAUUGAACUCGCUGUGAAGAUGCAGUGUACCCGCGGCAAGACGGAAAGACCCCGUGAACCUUUACUAUAGCUUGACACUGAACAUUGAGCCUUGAUGUGUAGGAUAGGUGGGAGGCUUUGAAGCGUGGACGCCAGUCUGCGUGGAGCCAACCUUGAAAUACCACCCUUUAAUGUUUGAUGUUCUAACGUUGGCCCCUUACCGGGGUUGCGGACAGUGUCUGGUGGGUAGUUUGACUGGGGCGGUCUCCUCCCAAAGCGUAACGGAGGAGCACGAAGGUUAGCUAAUCCUGGUCGGACAUCAGGAGGUUAGUGCAAUGGCAUAAGCUAGCUUGACUGCGAGCGUGACGGCGCGAGCAGGUGCGAAAGCAGGUCAUAGUGAUCCGGUGGUUCUGAAUGGAAGGGCCAUCGCUCAACGGAUAAAAGGUACUCCGGGGAUAACAGGCUGAUACCGCCCAAGAGUUCAUAUCGACGGCGGUGUUUGGCACCUCGAUGUCGGCUCAUCACAUCCUGGGGCUGAAGUAGGUCCCAAGGGUAUGGCUGUUCGCCAUUUAAAGUGGUACGCGAGCUGGGUUUAGAACGUCGUGAGACAGUUCGGUCCCUAUCUGCCGUGGGCGCUGGAGAAUUGAGGGGGGCUGCUCCUAGUACGAGAGGACCGGAGUGGACGCAUCACUGGUGUUCGGGUUGUCAUGCCAAUGGCACUGCCCGGUAGCUAAAUGCGGAAGAGAUAAGUGCUGAAAGCAUCUAAGCACGAAACUUGCCCCGAGAUGAGUUCUCCCUGAGACUUUAAGUCUCCUGAAGGAACGUUAAAGACGAUGACGUUGAUAGGCCGGGUGUGUAAGCGCAGCGAUGCGUUGAGCUAACCGGUACUAAUGAACCGUGAGGCUUAACCUU
rnacentral:rRNA from 1 species